UACAGAGGGUGCGAGCGUUAAUCGGAAUUACUGGGCGUAAAGCGUGCGCAGGCGGUUUCUUAAGUCAGAUGUGAAAGCCCCGGGCUUAACCUGGGAACUGCGUUUGAAACUGGGAGACUUGAGUGUGGCAGAGGGGGGUGGAAUUCCACGUGUAGCAGUGAAAUGCGUAGAUAUGUGGAGGAACACCGAUGGCGAAGGCAGCCCCCUGGGUUAACACUGACGCUCAUGCACGAAAGCGUGGGGAGCAAACAGG
rnacentral:rRNA from 1 species